CGGCGCGCCUCACACACGCAAGUUCGAAACGGUAAGACCCUUUUCGGGGGGUCCACGAGCGGCGAAACGGGAGAGUCAACACGCGAGUAAACCCGCUCUUCAUUCUCCGGGAAAAACAGUUCGGAAAACGGUUCGCUCAAUAACCGGAUACGAGCCUCGCAAGGCAUCUCGCGGGCCGGAAAGAUAUUUUUUCGGUUCGGGGAACGGACUCGCGGCCUAUUCAGCCUCGUUGGUGAGGUAGUGGCUCACCAAGGCUUUCGACGGGUAGCCGGCCUGAGAGGGCGACCGGCCACAUUGGGAACUGAGAUACGGCCCAAACUCCUACGGGAGGCAGCAGUGGGGAAAUAUUGCACAAUGGACGGAAGUCUGAUGCAGCGACCCCCCCGUGCGGGAUGACGGCCUUUCGGGUUUGUAAACCGCUUUUCAUUUGUGACGAAGCUUUUUUGUUGACGGUAGCAGUAGAAGAAACACCGGCUAACUACGUUCCAGCAGCCGCGGUGAUACGUAGGGUGCGAGCGUUGUCCGGAUUUAUGGGCGUAAAGAGCUUGUAGGCGGUUUGUCGCGUCGGGAGUGAAAACUUGGGGCUUAACCCUGAGCUUGCUUUCGAUACGGGCUGACUUGAGGGAGGUAGGGGAGAAUGGAAUUUCCUGGUGGAGCGGUGGAAUGCGCAGAUAUCAGGAGGAACACCGGUGGCGAAGGCGGUUCUCUGGACCUUUCCUGACGCUGAGAAGCGAAAGCGUGGGGAGCGAACAGGCUUAGAUACCCUGGUAGUCCACGCCGUAAACGGUGGGUACUAGGUGUGGGGGACAUUCCACGUUCUCCGUGCCGUAGCUAACGCAUUAAGUACCCCGCCUGGGGAGUACGGCCGCAAGGCUAAAACUCAAAGGAAUUGACGGGGCCCCGCACAAGCGGCGGAGCAUGCGGAUUAAUUCGAUGCAACGCGAAGAACCUUACCUGGGUUUGACAUAUGCCGGAAGCGUUCAGAGAUGGGCGUGCCUUUUUGGUCGGUUUACAGGUGGUGCAUGGCUGUCGUCAGCUCGUGUCGUGAGAUGUUGGGUUAAGUCCCGCAACGAGCGCAACCCUCGUCCAAUGUUGCCAGCGGGUUAUGCCGGGGACUCAUUGGAGACCGCCGGGGUCAACUCGGAGGAAGGUGGGGAUGACGUCAAGUCAUCAUGCCCCUUAUGUCCAGGGCUUCACGCAUGCUACAAUGGCCGGUACAAAGAGCUGCGAGCCUGUGAGGGUGAGCGAAUCUCGGAAAGCCGGUCUCAGUUCGGAUUGGGGUCUGCAACUCGACCCCAUGAAAGUCGGAGUCGCUAGUAAUCGCAGAUCAGCAACGCUGCGGUGAAUACGUUUCCCGGGGCUUUGUUACACACCGCCCGU
rnacentral:rRNA from 1 species